rnacentral:rRNA from 1 species
UACCAGCACCCCGAGUGGUCGGGACGUUUUAUUGGGCCUAAAGCAUCCGUAGCCGGUUCUACAAGUCUUCCGUUAAAUCCAACUGCUUAACAGGUGGGCUGCGGAAGAUACUAUAGAGCUAGGAGGCGGGAGAGGCAAGCGGUACUCGAUGGGUAGGGGUAAAAUCCGUUGAUCCAUUGAAGACCACCAGUGGCGAAGGCGGCUUGCCAGAACGCGCACGACGGUGAGGGAUGAAAGCUGGGGGAGCAAACCGGG